rnacentral:rRNA from 1 species
AUGUUCGAUGUCACCUCCCAGCUAAACUACAAGAACGUUCCCACAUGGCACAGAGACAUCUGCAGGCAUUCUUAUCUGGCAGACCAGGCAGGUGGCGACAACCUUUUGGAUGAACAGAGGCAUGAUCUUUACAAUGAAGCACAAAGUUUGUCAGACAUUCUUGAUAAAGAGUCGAUAUAUCUAACUAUCCAAGCUACCAUUGAUGAAGCACAAGAUGCUGAAAAUGUGGAAAAUCAUAUUUCACUGGCUAAAAUGUUAGAAGUGAACCAGGAAGUUAGUACCGCCAAAAUUAUGCUCCUGUCUUUGCUCCUACGCCAGAUGUGCGCCGACAUCAAGAAGGCGGAUAUUAUUUUCGCAUGCCUGUCUGACAUGGCUUCCAAUGUCAAUGGAACACCUGGCGGAAUCCAGUACUUUGGAGAGCGCGAAGAUCACUGUUACUUGGGUAAUGAAGUUAAGCUCUAUGAACACCAUGUAGAUGCUCUCUUUGCUAUGCUUUGGCACAAAAAGGCAGACAUCAACUACUACGUGUGCACCAUCAAUAAAAUAUUUGCCAAGCCAGGCCAGCGCAUGUAUUUCCAGGUCCACUAUAUGGAAGAGAACCUGCUGGAGUACAUUGAUCUACAUGAUGAUACACUCAUCGCCAGGCUCAUAGAUGGCAUCUACUCGCCGAAUGUUGCAUUAUGCUAG